CCCAGACAGCCAGGAUGUUGGCUUAGAAGCAGCCAUCAUUUAAAGAAAGCGUAAUAGCUCACUGGUCGAGUCGGCCUGCGCGGAAGAUGUAACGGGGCUAAACCAUGCACCGAAGCUGCGGCAGCGAACGUAUCACUUAAAGCGAUUCAGCGGGUUACGAUUGACGGAGCGAAGCGACGUCAAAGCGUAUUCAAAGUCGAGUUGGCUUAGGGAUACGUUCGUUGGGUAGGGGAGCGUUCUGUAAGCCUGUGAAGGUGUGUCGUGAGGCAUGCUGGAGGUAUCAGAAGUGCGAAUGCUGACAUAAGUAACGAUAAAGCGGGUGAAAAGCCCGCUCGCCGGAAGACCAAGGGUUCCUGUCCAACGUUAAUCGGGGCAGGGUGAGUCGACCCCUAAGGCGAGGCCGAAAGGCGUAGUCGAUGGGAAACGGGUUAAUAUUCCCGUACUUGGUGUUACUGCGAAGGGGGGACGGAGAAGGCUAUGUUGGCCGGGCGACGGUUGUCCCGGUUUAAGCGUGUAGGUGUGUGUUCCAGGUAAAUCCGGUUCACUUUAACACUGAGGCGUGAUGACGAGGCACUACGGUGCUGAAGCAACAAAUGCCCUGCUUCCAGGAAAAGCCUCUAAGCAUCAGGUAACACGAAAUCGUACCCCAAACCGACACAGGUGGUCAGGUAGAGAAUACCAAGGCGCUUGAGAGAACUCGGGUGAAGGAACUAGGCAAAAUGGUGCCGUAACUUCGGGAGAAGGCACGCUGACACGUAGGUGA
rnacentral:rRNA from 1 species